GUCCAGCAGAAAAGUCUCAAAUAUGACGAAACGUGAGUCCUGGAU
rnacentral:hammerhead_ribozyme from 1 species